CAUGCUCCCAGCCACCACAUCUGCACCCGAGGGAGCGAAGGCCCUGAGCCGCAGGGACCAUGGAGCAGCCAUCUGGCUCUGUGUCUGACCCUAAGGUGCACGUGGCCACACCCACAGGUCCCACGGCCCUCACGCUGAUGACUCUGGAGCUGUUUUGCCGCCGUCACCCCCUGCGCCUCCCUCUUUUGUUAAGUCCUCUUAUUUGAGAUUUAGUCUUAGGAAGCAACAUCUUACAUUUCUCUAUACUCGCCUCAGCAGCAAACAUGUUUUGGCCUCUGUUGUUACCUUAUUUCUGAUAACUUAAUUUUCUUGACAAGCUUAAUAGUAUUUGUAAGAAGACACCCCACCCAACCUUCCCAGGCACUGGGAACACACAGAGGAGCUGGAACGCGGUGUUCUCUGUCUUCACGAUAUUCUCCGUCCUUGGCAGCAUCUUCAUUAGCCUGCCUGUGGCCGCACCAAGCGCCAGCACAGCUGGCCUGUCCCCACAGGAGUCCCCGUGUGACUGCACAACCCCAUCUGCCCGGUCACCGUCGCACCCCGCUCAGCGUGACAUUUAACGAGCCAUGAGGUACCCACGCAAGCAGGAGCAGUGAUUUACCUGCCAGCCUUUCGCUGGUGCGAAGAACAUUUCAUUUUGCUAACGAUAUUUGCUGUUUGAUAGAGCUCCUCAAGGAACCAAAUGGACUUCUAAAGAAAAUGGUGAUGACGGCCCCCAGUGCACAGCAACAUCAACCCGGCGCUGGGCGUUCGCGGCAUCAAUGGAGCUGCACAGCCCUGAGGAGCUGCCAGACAGGGCCGGGGCCACAGGGACUGCAGGGCAAAAGCUUUGCAGGCUCAAUCUUCCUUUGGUUUAAAUUUUCGUCCUCAUUUUUUGCUGUCAUGAUUUGAUAUGCACCUUCCAAAGGACCAAAGAAUGCCUGUGCCAAAGUGAG
rnacentral:lncRNA from 1 species